UACGAAGGGGGCUAGCGUUGUUCGGAAUUACUGGGCGUAAAGCGCGCGCAGGCGGUCUUCCAAGUCAGUGGUGAAAGCCCGGAGCUCAACUCCGGAACUGCCAUUGAAACUGUAAGACUUGAGGAUGAGAGAGGUGAGUGGAAUUCCCAGUGUAGAGGUGAAAUUCGUAGAUAUUGGGAAGAACACCGGUGGCGAAGGCGGCUCACUGGCUCAUAUCUGACGCUCAGGCGCGAAAGCGUGGGGAUCAAACAGG
rnacentral:rRNA from 1 species